GGGGGGAUUUGGGGGGGGCGGGGACCCCCCGAGCCCCCCCCGAGCUGCCCCCCCAAAAUCCCCACCCCCCCCUGGAGGAGAUCAGCGUGGCGCAGGUGCGUCGGGCGGAGUUCCCAGCGGUGACCUGAGACACCCCAAAAUUUGGGAACCCCAAAAAUCGGGGUCCCAAAAUUUGGGGGAAAUGUGAAAAUUUGGGAUCAGGAAAUUUGGGAAACACCAAAAAUCAGGAUCCUAAAAUUUUAGGAAUCCCAGAAUUUGGGAACCCCAAAAUUUGGGACCCCAGAAUCUGGAGAAUCCUGAAAUUUGGGAUGCCGAAAUUUUAGAAAUCCAUAAAUUUGGGAACCCCAAAAAUUGGAAUCCCAAAAUUGGGGGGUGUCUGAAUAUUUGAGGAAUCCUGAAAUUUGAGAUCCUGAAAUUUUAGGAAUCCAUAAAUUUGGGAACCCUAAAAAUUGGAAUCCCAAAAUUUUAAGAAUAUGUAAAAUUUGGGAUCCCGAAAUUUUUGGGGAUCCCGAAAUUUGAAGGGGGGGAGGGGAAUUUUUGGGGUGGGGGAGGGGCAAUAAAGCGACUUUGUGUGACCCCCC